rnacentral:rRNA from 1 species
AGAGUUUGAUCCUAGCUCAGGAUGAACGCUAGCGGCAGGCCUAACACAUGCAAGUCGAGGGGCAUCGGGAUUGAAGCUUGCUUCAAUUGCCGGCGACCGGCGCACGGGUGCGUAACGCGUAUGUAACCUACCUAUAAACAGGGGGCAUAACACUGAGAAAUUGGUACUAAUUCCCCAUAAUAUUCGGAGAGGCAUCUCUCCGGGGUUGAAAACUCCGGUGGUUAUAGAUGGACAUGCGUUGUAUUAGCUAGUU